GGGAUAUUGAAUUCAGGGAGUCCACAAAUGAGCAGAGACAACGGCUGUUAUCAGACAUAUCAAGAUUAGAGGCCAAAGUGGAGAGGCUGGAAUCUCAACUUCAAGUCAAAGAUAGAGAGAUAGCUACCAUUACUAGAGAGGAAGCUAAAGCUACUGCAGCUUUGAAGGCACAAAUUGACAAGUUGCAGAAGGAAAGAGAUGAGUUUCAGAGGAUGGUUCUUGGCAAUCAGCAAGUCAGAACUCAGCAGAUAUAUGAAAUGAAGAAAAAGGAAAAGG
rnacentral:misc_RNA from 1 species